GGGGAUAAUGGGGAGUUCGCUCUACACCCUUUGUGACAUACCUAUAACUGUUGCUUCGGCGGGUAGGGUCUCCGUGACCCUCCCGGCCUCCCGCCCCCGGGCGGGUCGGCGCCCGCCGGAGGAUAACCAAACUCUGAUUUAACGACGUUUCUUCUGAGUGGUACAAGCAAAUAAUCAAAACUUUUAACAACGGAUCUCUUGGUUCUGGCAUCGAUGAAGAACGCAGCGAAAUGCGAUAAGUAAUGUGAAUUGCAGAAUUCAGUGAAUCAUCGAAUCUUUGAACGCACAUUGCGCCCGCCAGCAUUCUGGCGGGCAUGCCUGUUCGAGCGUCAUUUCAACCCUCAAGCUCUGCUUGGUGUUGGGGCCCUACGGCUGACGUAGGCCCUCAAAGGUAGUGGCGGACCCUCCCGGAGCCUCCUUUGCGUAGUAACUUUACGUCUCGCACUGGGAUCCGGAGGGACUCUUGCCGUAAAACCCCCAAUUUUCCAAAGGUUGACCUCGGAUCAGGUAGGAAUACCCGCUGAACUUAAGCAUAUCAUAAGCCGGGAGGAAAAUACUGGAGUUUACCCUCUACAACCUUUGUGAAACAUACCUAUAACUGUUUGCUUGGCGGGAAGGGUCUCCGUGACCUCGUCUCGCCCCGGGCGGGGUCGGCGCGCCGGAGGAUAAACAAACUCUGAUUUUAAGACUUUUCUUCUGAGUGGUACAAGCAAUAAUCAAAACUUUUUAACGACGGAUCUUGGUUUCUGCAUCAUAAAGAACGCAGCGAAUGCAAGAGUAAUGUGAGUUGCAGAAAUUAUGAUCACAAUCUUUGAAGCAAUUGCGCGCAUUGCUACGCUCUGCAUAGAUGGCUAGCGUAAUAGCCAAGAUUUGGCCACACACCUGGCUUAACUUCUGUCAGGACCGAGAGAAGCUUGCUAACACGUUCGUGAACUGAUGUGAUUCUAUUAGCCUGACUGAGAUGAUUCUUUCGUCUC
rnacentral:rRNA from 1 species